ensembl:snoRNA
AAGCCAGCUAGUGAGUCUGCUUACCUGGAUGUGUUUCUGCAGAAGUUUAGAAAAAGCUGGCAAUAGUAAUGCCAUAUCAUAAGCCUUAAGGACACUGAAGUCAUUAAGGUUCCCAAAAAUGGCUACAACA